AGCACUGUUUCGGCUAGGGGGUCAUCCCGACUUACCAACCCGAUGCAAACUGCGAAUACCGAAGAAUGUUAUCACGGGAGACACACGGCGGGUGCUAACGUCCGUCGUGAAGAGGGAAACAACCCAGACCGCCAGCUAAGGUCCCAAAGUCAUGGUUAAGUGGGAAACGAUGUGGGAAGGCACAGACAGCCAGGAUGUUGGCUUAGAAGCAGCCAUCAUUUAAAGAAAGCGUAAUAGCUCACUGGUCGAGUCGGCCUGCGCGGAAGAUGUAACGGGGCUAAACCAUGCACCGAAGCUGCGGCAGCGACACUAUGUGUUGUUGGGUAGGGGAGCGUUCUGUAAGCCGUUGAAGGUGUAUCGUGAGGUAUGCUGGAGGUAUCAGAAGUGCGAAUGCUGACAUAAGUAACGAUAAUGCGGGUGAAAAACCCGCACGCCGGAAGACCAAGGGUUCCUGUCCAACGUUAAUCGGGGCAGGGUGAGUCGACCCCUAAGGCGAGGCCGAAAGGCGUAGUCGAUGGGAAACAGGUUAAUAUUCCUGUACUUGGUGUUACUGCGAAGGGGGGACGGAGAAGGCUAUGUUAGCCGGGCGACGGUUGUCCCGGUUUAAGCAUGUAGGCGGAGGUUCCAGGUAAAUCCGGUACCUUUUUAACGCUGAGGUGUGAUGACGAGGCACUACGGUGCUGAAGUAACAAAUGCCCUGCUUCCAGGAAAAGCCUCUAAGCAUCAGGUAACACGAAAUCGUACCCCAAACCGACACAGGUGGUCAGGUAGAGAAUACCAAGGCGCUUGAGAGAACUCGGGUGAAGGAACUAGGCAAAAUGGUGCCGUAACUUCGGGAGAAGGCACGCUGAUAUGUAGGUGAAGUGAUUUACUCAUGGAGCUGAAAUCAGUCGAAGAUACCAGCUGGCUGCAACUGUUUAUUAAAAACACAGCACUGUGCAAACACGAAAGUGGACGUAUACGGUGUGACGCCUGCCCGGUGCCGGAAGGUUAAUUGAUGGGGUUAUCCGUAAGGAGAAGCUCUUGAUCGAAGCCCCGGUAAACGGCGGCCGUAACUAUAACGGUCCUAAGGUAGCGAAAUUCCUUGUCGGGUAAGUUCCGACCUGCACGAAUGGCGUAAUGAUGGCCAGGCUGUCUCCACCCGAGACUCAGUGAAAUUGAACUCGCUGUGAAGAUGCAGUGUACCCGCGGCAAGACGGAAAGACCCCGUGAACCUUUACUAUAGCUUGACACUGAACACUGGUCCUUGAUGUGUAGGAUAGGUGGGAGGCUUUGAAGUGUGGACGCCAGUCUGCAUGGAGCCAUCCUUGAAAUACCACCCUUUAAUGGCUGGUGUUCUAACGUGGACCCGUUACCCGGGUUGCGGACAGUGUCUGGUGGGUAGUUUGACUGGGGCGGUCUCCUCCUAAAGAGUAACGGAGGAGCACGAAGGUUAGCUAAUCCUGGUCGGACAUCAGGAGGUUAGUGCAAAGGCAUAAGCUAGCUUGACUGCGAGAGUGACGGCUCGAGCAGGUGCGAAAGCAGGUCUUAGUGAUCCGGUGGUUCUGAAUGGAAGGGCCAUCGCUCAACGGAUAAAAGGUACUCCGGGGAUAACAGGCUGAUACCGCCCAAGAGUUCAUAUCGACGGCGGUGUUUGGCACCUCGAUGUCGGCUCAUCACAUCCUGGGGCUGAAGUAGGUCCCAAGGGUAUGGCUGUUCGCCAUUUAAAGUGGUACGCGAGCUGGGUUUAGAACGUCGUGAGACAGUUCGGUCCCUAUCUGCCGUGGGCGCUGGAGAAUUGAGGGGGGCUGCUCCUAGUACGAGAGGACCGGAGUGGACGCAUCACUGGUGUUCGGGUUGUCAUGCCAAUGGCAUUGCCCGGUAGCUAAAUGCGGAAGAGAUAAGUGCUGAAAGCAUCUAAGCACGAAACUUGCCCCG
rnacentral:rRNA from 1 species